rnacentral:rRNA from 1 species
ACCUGCGGAAGGAUCAUUACCGAGUUUUCGAGCUCCGGCUCGACUCUCCCACCCUUUGUGAACGUACCUCUGUUGCUUUGGCGGCUCCGGCCGCCAAAGGACCUUCAAACUCCAGUCAGUAAACGCAGACGUCUGAUAAACAAGUUAAUAAACUAAAACUUUCAACAACGGAUCUCUUGGUUCUGGCAUCGAUGAAGAACGCAGCGAAAUGCGAUAAGUAAUGUGAAUUGCAGAAUUCAGUGAAUCAUCGAAUCUUUGAACGCACAUUGCGCCCCUUGGUAUUCCGGGGGGCAUGCCUGUUCGAGCGUCAUUACAACCCUCAAGCUCUGCUUGGAAUUGGGCACCGUCCUCACUGCGGACGCGCCUCAAAGACCUCGGCGGUGGCUGUUCAGCCCUCAAGCGUAGUAGAAUACACCUCGCUUUGGAGCGGUUGGCGUCGCCCGCCGGACGAACCUUCUGAACUUUUCUCAAGGUUGACCUCGGAUCAGGUAGGGAUACCCGCUGAACUUAAGCAUAUCAAUACCCGGAGG